rnacentral:rRNA from 1 species
AUUGAACGCUGGCGGCAUGCUUUACACAUGCAAGUCGAACGGCAGCGCGGGCUUCGGCCUUGCGGCGAGUGGCGAACGGGUGAGUAAUGCAUCGGAACGUGCCCAGUAGUGGGGGAUAGCGCGCCGAAAGGCGGACUAAUACCGCAUACGACCUGAGGGUGAAAGCGUGGGACCGAAAGGCCUCGCGCUAUCUGAUCAGCCGAUGUCGGAUUAGCUAGUUGGUGGGGUAAAGGCUUACCAAGGCGACGAUCCGUAGCUGGUCUGAGAGGACGACCAGCCACACUGGGACUGAGACACGGCCCAGACUCCUACGGGAGGCAGCAGUGGGGAAUUUUGGACAAUGGGGGCAACCCUGAUCCAGCCAUGCCGCGUGCGGGAAGAAGGCCUUCGGGUUGUAAACCGCUUUUGUUCGGGAAGAAAUCCUCUGGGCUAAUACCCCGGGGGGAUGACGGUACCGGAAGAAUAAGCACCGGCUAACUACGUG